rnacentral:rRNA from 1 species
GCUGAUUCUAAGCUGGCAAAGGCUAUCUUAAACUAACCAAAACUCGCACACAACUUUCUAAGAAUAGAAACUUAAGGUUCUGGCGUAGCCCAAAACUGGGGUUAAUUCUCGAUGGGUGAGGAGGCCUGGAAUGGUUCUUCACUGAAAGGGCGUUAGAGGCAUGCUCUCUAACGUUGCCCAAGGAUGGGGCCGCGGCCGAUCAGGUUGUUGGUGAGGUAACGGCUUACCAAGCCUAUAACCGGUACGGGCCGUGAGAGCGGAAGCCCGGAGAUGGGCACUGAGAUAAGGGCCCAGGCCCUACGGGGCGCAGCAGUUGCGAAAACUCCGCAAUGCACGAAAGUGUGACGGGGCUACCCCGAGUGCCGUCCGCUGAGGAUGGCUUUUCUCCGCUGUAAGGAGGCGGAGGAAUAAGGAGAGGGCAAGACUGGUGUCAGCCGCCGCGGUAAUACCAGCUCUCCGAGUGGUAGGGGUGAUUAUUGGGCUUAAAGCGUCCGUAGCCGGCCUGGCAAGUCUUCCGUUAAAUCCAGCAACCUAAUUGUUGGGCUGCGGGGGAUACUGUUAGGCUUGGGGGCGGGAGAGGCCGACGGUAUUCUCGGGGUAGGGGUGAAAUCUUAUAAUCCCGAGAGGACCACCAGUGGCGAAGGCUGUCGGCUAGCACGCGCCUGACGGUGAGGGACGAAAGCUGGGGGAGCGAACCGGAUUAGAUACCCGGGUAGUCCCUGCUGUAAACGAUGCGAGCUAGGUGUUGGGGCGGCUACGAGCCGCUUCAGUGCCGCAGCGAAGGCGUUAAGCUCGCCGCCUGGGGAGUACGGCCGCAAGGCUGAAACUUAAAGGAAUUGGCGGGGGAGCACCACAAGGCGUGAAGCUUGCGGUUC